AGUGAACGCUGGCGGUAGGCCUAACACAUGCAAGUCGAACGGCAGCACAGUAAGAGCUUGCUCUUACGGGUGGCGAGUGGCGGACGGGUGAGGAAUACAUCGGAAUCUACUUUUUCGUGGGGGAUAACGUAGGGAAACUUACGCUAAUACCGCAUACGACCUACGGGUGAAUGCAGGGGAUCUUCGCACUUUGCGCGAUUGAAUGAGCCGAUGUCGGAUUAGCUAGUUGGCGGGGUAAAGGCCCACCAAGGCGACGAUCCGUAGCUGGUCUGAGGGGAUGAUCAGCCACACUGGAACUGAGACACGGUCCAGACUCCUACGGGAGGCAGCAGUGGGGAAUAUUGGACAAUGGGCGCAAGCCUGAUCCAGCCAUACCGCGUGGGUGAAGAAGGCCUUCGGGUUGUAAAGCCCUUUUGUUGGGAAAGAAAAGCAGCAGGUUAAUACCCCGCUGUUCUGACGGUACCCAAAGAAUAAGCACCGGCUAACUUCGUG
rnacentral:rRNA from 1 species